rnacentral:tRNA from 1 species
UGUGGCUCAGUGGUAAAGCACUUGCCUAGCAUGCUUGAGGACCUAGGUUCAAUCCCUAGUA